UACGUAGGGUGCGAGCGUUAAUCGGAAUUACUGGGCGUAAAGUGUGCGCAGGCGGCCGCGCAAGUCGAGUGUGAAAUCCCCGAGCUUAACUUGGGAAUUGCGCUCGAAACUACGUGGCUGGAGUGUGGCAGAGGAAUGUGGAAUUCCACGUGUAGCGGUGAAAUGCGUAGAGAUGUGGAGGAACACCGAUGGCGAAGGCAGCCUUCUGGGCCAACACUGACGCUCAUGCACGAAAGCGUGGGGAGCAAACAGG
rnacentral:rRNA from 1 species